GGUUUGCCUGCUGAAUUUAA
rnacentral:rRNA from 2 species